rnacentral:rRNA from 1 species
GCAAACCGAAGAAGGCGACCGGCGCACGGGCGAGUAACACGUAUCCAACCUGCCGAUAACUCCGGGAUAGCCUUUCGAAAGAAAGAUUAAUACCGGAUAGUAUACGAAUAUCGCAUGAUAUUUUUAUUAAAGAAAUUUCGGUUAUCGAUGGGGAUGCGUUCCAUUAGUUUUGUUGGCGGGGUAACGGCCCCACCAAGACUACGAUGGAUAGGGGUUCUGAGAGGAAGGUCCCCCACAUUGGAACUGAGACACGGUCCAAACUCCUACGGGAGGCAGCAGUGAGGAAUAUUGGUCAAUGGGCGCGAGCCUGAACCAGCCAAGUAGCGUGAAGGAUGAAGGCUCUAUGGGUCGUAAACUUCUUUUAUAUGGGAAUAAAGUUUUCCACGUGUGGAAUUUUGUAUGUACCAUAUGAAUAAGGAUCGGCUAACUCCGUGCCAGCAGCCGCGGUAAUACGGAGGAUCCGAGCGUUAUCCGGAUUUAUUGGGUUUAAAGGGAGCGUAGGUGGAUUGUUAAGUCAGUUGUGAAAGUUUGCGGCUCAACCGUAAAAUUGCAGUUGAAACUGGCAGUCUUGAGUACAGUAGAGGUGGGCGGAAUUCGUGGUGUAGCGGUGAAAUGCUUAGAUAUCACGAAGAACUCCGAUUGCGAAGGCAGCUCACUAGACUGUCACUGACACUGAUGCUCGAAAGUGUGGGUAUCAAACAGGAUUAGAUACCCUGGUAGUCCACACAGUAAACGAUGAAUACUCGCUGUUUGCGAUAUACAGUAAGCGGCCAAGCGAAAGCAUUAAGUAUUCCACCUGGGGAGUACGCCGGCAACGGUGAAACUCAAAGGAAUUGACGGGGGCCCGCACAAGCGGAGGAACAUGUGGUUUAAUUCGAUGAUACGCGAGGAACCUUACCCGGGCUUAAAUUGCAACAGAAUAUAUUGGAAACAGUAUAGCCGUAAGGCUGUUGUGAAGGUGCUGCAUGGUUGUCGUCAGCUCGUGCCGUGAGGUGUCGGCUUAAGUGCCAUAACGAGCGCAACCCUUAUCUUUAGUUACUAACAGGUUAUGCUGAGGACUCUAGAGAGACUGCCGUCGUAAGAUGUGAGGAAGGUGGGGAUGACGUCAAAUCAGCACGGCCCUUACGUCCGGGGCUACACACGUGUUACAAUGGGGGGUACAGAAGGCGGCUACCUGGUGACAGGAUGCUAAUCCCAAAAACCUCUCUCAGUUCGGAUCGAAGUCUGCAACCCGACUUCGUGAAGCUGGAUUCGCUAGUAAUCGCGCAUCAGCCAUGGCGCGGUGAAUACGUUCCCGGGCCU